UACGUAGGUGGCAAGCGUUAUCCGGAUUUACUGGGUGUAAAGGGCGUGUAGGCGGGAAAGCAAGUCAGAUGUGAAAACCAUGGGCUCAACCUGUGGCCUGCAUUUGAAACUGUUACUCUUGAGUACUGGAGAGGCAGACGGAAUUCCUAGUGUAGCGGUGAAAUGCGUAGAUAUUAGGAGGAACACCAGUGGCGAAGGCGGUCUGCUGGACAGCAACUGACGCUGAGGCACGAAAGCGUGGGGAGCAAACAGG
rnacentral:rRNA from 1 species